AGAGUUCGAUCCUGGCUCAGGAUGAAUGCUGGCGGCAUGCUUAACACAUGCAAGUCGGACAGGAAGUGGUGUUUCCAGUGGCGGACAGGUGAGUAACACAUAAGAACCUGCCAUUGGGAGGGGAACAACAGCUGGAAAUGGCUGCUAAUACCCCAUAGGUUGAGGAGUAAAAGGAGGAAUCCACCCGAGGAGGGGCUUGCAUCUAAUUAGCUAGUUGGUGAGGCAAUAGCUUACCAAGGCGAUGAUCAGUAGCUGGUCUGAGAGGAUGAUCAGCCACACUGGGACUGAGACACGACUCAGACUCCUACGAGAGGCAGCAAAGGGGAAUUUUCUAUAAUGGGUGAAAGCUUAAUGGAGCAAUGCCGCGUGAAGGUAGAAGGCCUACGGGUCAUGAACUUUUUUUCUGGAGAAGAAACAAUGACGGUAUCUAGGGAAUAAGCAUCGGCUAACUCUGUGCCAGCAGCCGUGAUAAUACAAAGAAUGCAAGUGUUAUCUGGAAUGAUUGGGCAUAAAGCAUUUGUAGGUGGCUUUUUAUGUCUGCCGUCAAAUCCCAGGGCUCAACCCUGGACAGGCGGUGGAAACUACCAAGUUGGAGUACGGUAGGGGUAGAGGGAAUUUUCAGUGGAGCAGUGAAAUGUGUAGAGAUUGGAAAGAACACCAAUGGCGAAAGCACUUUGCUAGGCUGACAUUGACAUUGAGAGACGAAAGCUAGGGGAGCAAAUGGGAUUAGAUACCUUAGUAGUCCUAGCCGUAAACGAUGGAUACUAGGCGCUGUGCGUAUCGAUCCAUGCAGUGCUGUAGUUAACGCGUUAAAUAUCCCAUUUGGGGAGUACAUUUGUAAGAAUGAAACUCAAAGGAAUUGACGGGGGCCUGCACAAGUGGUGGAGCAUGUGGUUUAAUUUGAUGCAAAGAGAAGAACCUUACUAGGGCUUGACAUGCCGUGAAUCCCCUUGAAAGAGAGGGGUGCCUUUGGGAACCCAGACACAGGUGGUGCAUGGCUAUCAUCAGCUCAUGCCGUAAGGUGUUGGGUUAAGUCCACAAUGAGCAUAACCCUCGUGUGUAGUUGUCACCGUUGAGUUUGGAAUCCUGAGCAGACUGACGGUGAUAAGCUGGAGGAAGGUGAGGAUGAUGUCAAGUCAUCAUGUCCCUUAUGACCUGGGCAACACACGUGCUACAAUGGCCAGGAAAAAGGGUUGCGAUCCCGCGAAGGUGAUCUAAGUCCAAAAACCCAUCUUCAGUUUGGAUUGUAGGCUGCAACUUGCCUACAUGAAGCUGGAAUCGCUAGUAAUCGCCGAUUAGCCAUACAUCGGUGAAUUUGUUCCUGGGCCUUGUACACAUCGCCCGUCACACUAUGGGUGCUGGCCAUGCCUGAAGUCGUUACCUUAACCGCAAGGAGGGGGAUGCCGAAGGCAGGGCUAGUGAUUAGAGUGAAGUCAUAACAAGGUAGCCAUACUGGAAGGUGCAGCUG
rnacentral:rRNA from 1 species